UACGUAGGGGGCAAGCGUUGUCCGGAAUUAUUGGGCGUAAAGAGCGCGUAGGCGGUCCGAUAAGUCGGCUGUGAAAGUCCAGGGCUCAACCCUGGAAAGCCGGCCGAUACUGUCGGACUAGAGUCCGGAAGAGGCAAGUGGAAAUUCCCGGUGUAGCGGUGAAAUGCGCAGAUAUCGGGAGGAACACCAAUGGCGAAGGCAGCUUGCUGGGACGGUACUGACGCUGAGGCGCGAAAGCGUGGGGAGCAAACAGGGAUUAA
rnacentral:rRNA from 1 species